rnacentral:rRNA from 1 species
UCUGGCGACCAUAGCGGGCGGUCCCACCCCUUCCCUUCCCGAACAGGACCGUGAAACGCCCCUGCGCCAAUGAUAGUCGGCAUCUCGCCGGCGAAAGUAGGUCAUCGCCAGAC